rnacentral:rRNA from 1 species
GGGGAAUUUUGGACAAUGGGGGCAACCCUGAUCCAGCCAUGCCGCGUGAGUGAGGAAGGCCUUCGGGUUGUAAAGCUCUUUCGGCCGGAAAGAAAACGGCUGGGUUAAUACCCUGUUCGGAUGACGGUACCGUCAUAAGAAGCACCGGCUAACUCAGUGCCAGCAGCCGCGGUAAUACGUAGGGUGCGAGCGUUAAUCGGAAUUACUGGGCGUAAAGCGUGCGCAGGCGGUUUUGUAAGACAGGCGUGAAAUCCCCGGGCUCAACCUGGGAACUGCGCUUGUGACUGCAAGUCUAGAGUACGGCAGAGGGGGGUGGAAUUCCACGUGUAGCAGUGAAAUGCGUAGAGAUGUGGAGGAACACCAAUGGCGAAGGCAGCCCCCUGGGUCGAUACUGACGCUCAUGCACGAAAGCGUGGGGAGCAAACA